CCCUUAGAUGUCCUGGGCCGCACGCGCGCUACACUGACAUGUUCAACAAGCCUCCUAGUUCGACAGGAUUUGGGAAAUCUUUGAACGCAUGUCGUGAUAGGGAUAGAUCAUUGCAAUUAUUGAUCUUGAACGAGGAAUUCCUAGUAAACGCGAGUCAUCAGCUCGCAUUGAUUACGUCCCUGCCCUUUGUACACACCGCCCGUCGCACCUACCGAUUGAAUGUUUCGGUGAAGAUUCCGGAUAGGACUUUUUUGAUUUAUUUCAAUUUUGUCUUAAAAGCUAUCUAAACCUCAACAUUUAGAGGAAGGUGAAGUCGUAACA
rnacentral:rRNA from 1 species